rfam:Schistosoma curassoni strain Dakar, Senegal genome assembly, scaffold: SCTD_scaffold0000412
AGCCUUUUAUAUCCAUGCUGAGAUUUUCUCACAUACCAGACUACACGGGCUGAUGGGAUUCUCAAGAUAAGUGAAGAU